UAUUCAGCGAUGAAGUAGCCUAGUAACCGAAUGUUUUGGAAAUUAGAGACUUGGUGUUAGCUGCAAAUCAAGCCAAGCAUUUGUGUGAAUUACACUAUGGAGCAAAGAAAGGAUUCAUCUCUUUAUCGAUGGUUUGAGUUGGUUAUCUUUGGAUAGCAACUUGGGUGGUAACGCGGAAUUUUUCGUCCCUAGG
rnacentral:ncRNA from 1 species